GAAAGGGCGGAUUUCAGCUAUGCCGGCAAGGCUGGGAACACUAAAGCUUGUUUGAAAGUAAAGUAGAAUGCGGUGGGAAGAAUGGUAGAUGAUUCCUAUCCCUUCUGUUUGAUGAACCAGUGUCCGGCACACAAUAAGCACUCAAAAAUACUACUGACUGACUGGCUUCGGGAAAACACAUUAAUUACACAUCGCUUCCGGUGCUCAAGGAGUUCUGCCACGCGGUUAAGCGUCUUAGAGAACAAAGGUGUCAGAAACCCAUCGCUCUCUGCGACUUCCAAAGGUCGGCCGCGAUCAAGCAUCUCCGCGGCCACACCGGAUGUCACGUUUCCCUACGGCUGAUUCGAGGCGACCUUCCCGGGAGGAAACGACGGAUGGCUGGGAUAGAAUCGACGGAGGGGCGAUACAUGCUUGAAGGAGUCGUCUGCUGCGAGGAGAGUGAGGGGUGUCAUUCGCACGCUUGGCAUUUGGAAUCGGGCCACGAUGUGAAGUGGGGGGUGGUCGGAGUCUCCAAUCCUUUCAUUAGAAUCCACUGCUCACCGGACCUCGAGACGAACACAUUGACAAGCGAUUAGGAAUCUGAAUGGGUUCAGAGGAGAUGCGGAAUUAACUCAGACGCAGGCAGAAUAUCUUUCUGUAGGAAGGCUCUUAUGCAUAUGGAUUUAAAGGUAGUUUAUUACUUCAACAGUAUGUACAGAUUCUAACAUGAAAAUAAUGAGUAACAGAAUAUCAGACUAUUUACAAUUACAUUUUUUUACAAAAUGUUUUUACAAGAUGAUCUCUUCUCUCUAAAUAACAAGACAGAUGCAUGAAAAUCAAACUUUCUCUGAAUUACAUACAUAAAUAAAUACUGAAUUUAAA